rnacentral:rRNA from 1 species
GACGAACGCUGGCGGCGUGCCUAAUACAUGCAAGUAGAACGCAGUUGCGAACGGGUGAGUAACGCGUAGGUAACUGCCUAUUAUCGGGGGAUAACUAUUGGAAACGCUUGCUAAUACCGCAUACUAUUAGAUGGACCUUGGUUGUAUUAGCUAGUAGGUAGGGUAAUGGCCUACCUAGGGAACGAAACAUAGCCGACCUGAGAGGAGGAUCGGCCACACUGGGACUGAGACACGGCCCAGACUCCUACGGGAGGCAGCAGUGGGGAAUAUUGGACAAUGGGCGCAAGCCUGAGGCAGCCAUGCCGCGUGUAUGAAGAAGGCCCUAGGGUUGUAAAGUACUUUCAGUCGGGAGGCGUUACCGACAGAAGAAGCACCGGCUAACUCCGUGCCAGCCGCCGCGGUAAUUC